rnacentral:rRNA from 1 species
GACGAACGCUGGCGGCGUGCUUAACACAUGCAAGUCGAACGGAAAGGCCCUGACUUUGUGGGGUGCUCGAGUGGCGAACGGGAGAGUAACACGAGAGUAACCUGCCCUUGACUUUGGGAUAACUUCAGGAAACUGGGGCUAAUACCGGAUAGGAGCUCCUGCUGCAUGGUGGGGGUUGGAAAGUUUCGGCGGUUGGUGAUGGACUCGCGGCUUAUCAGCUUGUUGGUGGGGUAGUGGCUUACCAAGGUUUUGACGGGUAGCCGGCCUGAGUGGGUGACCGGCCACAUUGGGACUGAGAUACGGCCCAGACUCCUACGGGAGGCAGAAGUGGGGAAUAUUGCACAAUGGGCGGAGGCGUGAUGCAGCAACGCCGCUUGCGGGAGGACGGCCCUCGGGUUGGAAACCGCUUUCGCCUGUGACGAAGCGUGAGGGAGGGUAAUGGGUAAAGAAGCACCGGCUAACUACGUG